rnacentral:rRNA from 1 species
UACAGAGACCUCAAGCGUUAUCCGGAAUCAUUGGGCGUAAAGCGUACCGAUAGGUGGUUAAGAAAGUCAGAUGUGAAAUCUCCGAGCUCAACUCGGAAUCUGUCAUUUGAAACUUCUUGACUAGAGGGGCAAAGAGGAAGCUGGAACGAACGGUGUAGUAGUGAAAUGCGUUGAUAUCGUUCGGAACACCAAUAGCGUAGGCAGGCUUCUGGGUGCCACCUGACACUGCUAGGACGAAAGCGUGGGGAGCGAAGUGGG